GGUUGACCUAGUUCAGCCCGCAUAAGGAGGCUUAAAGCUGUGCCUAGGACCCCAGCUCAGGCACCGAACAACAGAUAAUUUCACUGUCCUUUCCCUCUCAUUGGGAGUGAAAUAGAAUUCCUUCCUUUAGUAAUGUUCAGCUUGGCCAUGUGACUCACUUUGGCUAAUAGAAGGUAAUGAUGUUGCUACAAGCAGAGACAUGGCUUGGAUCCUAUUAUGAUCUUACGGUUUACCAGGAGAGGAAUAUAUCCUAGAUUGUCUGAACCUCACAAUGGAACAUGAAGAGACCAUUUGCCUUGUAGGUGCGGGUUCAAGGAAGAUGAGACAAAUAUGGAAUAAGCUUGUAUCCAUUCCUGGAGCCUGGAGCCUGGAGCCUGGGGCCCAGAUACUGAAGCCUUGAGUCUAAUUUAGUCCAGCUGAUUUUCAGCUAACCCUCGCACACAUAAACAUGAGAAUAAAUGAGUUUUCUUUCAACUCAAAAUAA
rnacentral:lncRNA from 1 species